rnacentral:lncRNA from 1 species
GAUGUCAGAAACCAUUACUAGAUGGUAUCUCAAUUAGUGCAGAAAUUAGUUUCUAUGCUACCGGCUUAGUAUUUGAACCUAUGGAGUCAUGCACACAAGUCAGACAAAGUAGGAAGGAAUUGACCUAUGUUUAUAUAUUCAAUUUGAAAGUAUUUGACUUGAUUGAACAUAUAAGCUAACUUGAUUGAGAAUUAAGUUAUGGGUCAAACGAGAUUGAAGAGUUGACUAUAUCUAGCUAG